GAGUUUGAUCGUGGCUCAGGAUGAACGCUAGCUACAGGCUUAACACAUGCAAGUCGAGGGGCAGCAUUUUAGUUUGCUUGCAAACUAAAGAUGGCGACCGGCGCACGGGUGAGUAACACGUAUCCAACCUGCCGAUAACUCGGGGAUAGCCUUUCGAAAGAAAGAUUAAUAUCCGAUAGUAUAUUAAAACCGCAUGGUUUUACUAUUAAAGAAUUUCGGUUAUCGAUGGGGAUGCGUUCCAUUAGUUUGUUGGCGGGUAACGGCCCACCAAGACUACGAUGGAUAGGGGUUCUGAGAGGAAGGUCCCCCACAUUGGAACUGAGACACGGUCCAAACUCCUACGGGAGGCAGCAGUGAGGAAUAUUGGUCAAUGGACGAGAGUCUGAACCAGCCAAGUAGCGUGAAGGAUGACUGCCCUAUGGGUU
rnacentral:rRNA from 1 species